GGAUGUAGCUCAGUGAUAAAGUGUUUGCCUAGCAUGCAUGAGGCCCUGGGUUCAAUCUUCAGCACCA
rnacentral:tRNA from 1 species